UCCAGUGUGGGCGGAACAAGAGUCGUCCUUCCGCUUUCAAUUGCAGGUGGUUGCUACGGGCACUGGGAACUGAAAGUACACCGUGAGAGUUCUUUUAGAGAAGGUGUGAACCUGGCCCAAGAUUGGCAACUGGGAAACUUUAUGUGGAGAAAGGGCGAUCUGAGUCCUGACUCGAUAGGUCCCUCGCCGGCUCCCGUAAUCCCCGCCAGAGCACGUUGGCUCCAUUUUCUCCAAGCUCUCCAGCCGCCGUGCCUUUCGCGGGAUUCCCCGGUCUUCCGGUUCUGGUGCGGUCUUCUGCGAGGUGCUGUGUGCAGUACUCCAGGGCCGGACGUGGGCGGUGCGAGCGAGUCCAUUCGCUUCAGCCCUCCCCUGCCAUUGCUGUUCAGGAAAGUUGGUGGGUUUUAACCUGUCGGAAAGUCGUCAAGUUUCCGCAAGGCAUCAGACCUGUGUCACAGUUUGCAGACUCUCCCACCUUCUCCUGCUUCCUUCCCUUUUAUCUUUCACAGAUAUUUCCCCUAAUGAAUCUUUUGCAUUUUGUUCUGCUGAGUUGUGCCUUCCCCAAAAUUUAUAUGUUGAAGUCUUAAACCCCCAACAUCUCAGAAUGUGACUGUAUUUGGAGAUAAGUCCUUUAAAGAGGCGAUUAAGUUAAAAAUGAAGCUACUAGAGCAAACCCUAAUCCAGUCUGACUGGUGUCUUUAAGAAAUUUAGACAAAAAGAGACACCAGGGGCAUGUGUGCACAGAGGAAGGUCCAUGUGAAGACACAGCAAGAAGGUGGCUACGUACAAGUGAAGGAAAGAGGCCUCAGAAGAAACCAAACUUGAUGAUACCUUGAUCUUGGACUUCUAGCUUCUAGAACUAUGAGAAGUUGAUUUCUGUACAGAGCUUAUGGCAAACCCCAGUAGAAAAAUCACAGUGCAGUCCCUGGGACUCUGGAGCAAGGCCAGGCCAUCUGCAACAAAGAAUUAUAUACAUUUUAAGAAUCGACUACUAGAGUGAUACUGGGCCUUGGUGGAAAUAGAACACUUAACCAUAAGGUACCAAGUAACCAUGUGUCUAGAACUGCCUGUUAUGGACUGGGUUCUAUUGAUCCAGAUAGAACCAGCAGCAUCUAUUGUAAAAUGGAAAUGUUACAUCAUGGAUGGAGCUCAAGUGUAUUGUGGCACUGGUAAGCCGUAUGACCGGGUAGCCCAGAUGCCCAUGUCACCUGCCACAACCAGACUAAUAUAACCAGCUGAAGGAGGAGGGGUAAAACCUGAGUUUGGUUUAUGGAUAUGUCAGCUCAGUAUAUGGGUGCAGGCCAAAAUUAGAUGGCGGCUACAUUGGUCAUAUUCUUGAGAGGCUUUAAAAACAAAAUCUUCCCAAUGGUCGAAGUUGGAAGCAUUGUUUCUGUUCAUUUGCUUUGUAUAUAAGGAGAAGCAGACUGAAGUAAGAAUAUAUAUAGAUUCUUGUGCAUGUGUCAAUGGCCUGGCCUUUGGUAGAGGACCUAGAAGGAAAAAGACUAGAAGAUCAAAGACAAGAAAGUCUGGGGUAGAAUCAUGUGGAUGAAUAUAAGGAGUGGGCAUGAAGUAUGAAGAUUUUUGUAUUGCCUCUCAUAUCCACCAGGGAAGAGGCACUAAACAAGUAGACAGAAUGACUCAUCCAUUUGUCAUUAACAGCUUUAAUCAUCAGCCACCUUGGACUAGCACAAUGAGCACUGUAUGGGUUGUAUUAUAUCCCCCACAAAGUUUGUUUGUUGCAAUCCUAACCCCUAAUACCUCCAAUUGUGACCUUAUUUAGAAAUAGGAUUGUUGCAAAUGUAAUUAGGAUGACAUCACGAGUAGAGUGGGCCCCUAUGUCAAUAUGACUAGUGUCGUUAUAAGCAGACACCAAGUGAAGAAAGAGAUACACAGAGAUAAUGCCAUGUGAAGAUAAAAACAGAUCAAGUUGAUGUAGCAGAAGCCACAGCAUGCCAAAAUUGCCAGCAAACCACCAGAAGCUAGAGAAGAAGCAUGGAACAGAUUUUCCUUCACAACCCUCAGAAGGAACUAAACCUGCUGACACCUUGAUCUCAAACUUGUGGCUUCCUGAACUGUGAGACAAUAUCUGUUAUUUAAAUCACCAGAUCUGUGGUUCUUUAUUAAGGCAGUCCUAAGAAACUCAUACAGGCAUAUAAAUAAAGUGGCCACAAUGGCAGAGAUGCAGGCUAUGUAUGGGCCCCAAAGCAUGGACUUCAGCUUUCCAAGGCUGAUCUGGCUACUGAUGCCUAAAUGUCCAACCUGUCAGCAAGAAAUCAGUGCGGAUCCCCCAAUGUGGCACUAUUACUCAAAGAGAACAACUGUCUACUUGGUGACAAUUUGACUACAUUGGGUCCUUUUUUUCCUGGAGGGGCCAGUGGUUCAUUCUCACAGUGAUAGAUAGCUAUUCUGGGUGUGGGUUUUCCUUUCCACGCACAGAUCCUCAGCUGGAGUUACUGUAUAGGGGUUUAUGGAAUGCCUGAUCCACAGGCAUAAGGAUCCUGUGUAACAUAGCAUUCGACCAGAGGACCUGCUUCAUGGUAAAAGAGGUGUAGGAGUGGACACGUGACCAUGCAAUCCACUGGUCAUACCACACCAUCCAAAAGAGCUGACCCCAAAGAGAGCUAGAAAUGACUUUCUAAAGGCACGGGUGAAGUGCCAGUCAGAAGCAACACUCAGAAGUUGGAUGCUAACAUUCAGGAUGAGUUGUACACAUUAAAUCAGAGGCCUUUAUGACCCCAACAGGAAAAAUACAUGGGUCCACUUACCAAGGAAUGGAGGCAGGAAUAGCACCACUUACCUUUGCUGCCAAUGACCCACUAGAGGAUUUUGUGCUUUCCAUACCCACAAAUCUGGGCUCUAUAGGGCUGGACGUACUGGUCCCCAAAGAGGUUGCACUCCUGUUAAGGGACACAGCAAGGGUCCUAUUGUACUACAAGCUGUGACUGCUGCUGGGUACUUUGGACUCAUUCCAGGAGCAUCUCCUGAUACUCUCUUGCCCCAUUGUAACUGUGAAUACAUGUAGCAACUCUGGCCUGAGAAAGGUAUGGUUAUCAGGAGCUCAGACCCCUUAGGAAUUAAGGUUUGGAUCAUACCACCACUUAAGCCAACAAGACCUGCUAAAAUGAUAACUGAGGAUGAGGGGAAUUUAGAUUGGAUACAGGGAAAAGGAGAGAAUGCCCAUGUUGGGGCCUCCAAACCAAUUGCUGUGUUCAUUUCACUAACUUCCUCUUCUAAGUUUCCCUUCAGGAAGAAAGGCCCAUGGGAACCAUGGAAGAGCAUCUCCAACCCUGCAUCAAGAAGUAGGUCUGUGGGGCAAAGGAAUGAACUGUGGUGGUUCGGAAAAUGGGCCACUGGAUUUCCUGCUGUGCAGAACAUAGUUAAUUGAUGACCCCAGCUGCUGACCUGGAUCUACCACCGUGUUCACAACUGAGGCCACACUUCCCAUAAUCUGUUCCUCGCUGAUGACUGAGCAUGGUGCGGUAAUAAUACAGGCUCAUUUCUCUGAGACUUGGGACUCCUUGGGCCACCCUGACUAGAGAACUACCCAUAGGAUCAGAGCUCAGAGGGAAAUUUAGAGAAAGGAUCAGGAAAUUUAUGCAAAGUAAAAUUAAAGAUAAAACCAGAAAUCAAUGAAAUAGAAAGCAGAUAUACAACAAACUUGGCAAAGCCAAGACUUAUUAAUCUUUGAAAAGACUUAAAAAAUUAACUCCUGGAAAGACUAAUGAAAAAAUGUAAGAAAACACAUUACCAAUAUCAGUAGUAAAAAGGGGGACAUCACUACAGGUCCUGUAGACAUUAAAAAUAUGAGGAUAUUAUAAACAGUUUUAUACCAAUAAACUUGAUAAUUCAGAUGAAAUGGAAAAUUUUGUCAUAAAAAGAAAACUAAGACUGAAACAUAAUAAAUAGAAAGUUCUAUAUAUUUUAAAGGAAUUAAAUUUAUAAUUUAAAACCUUUCUAAAAAGAUAACUCCAGAUGGCUUCACUGGUGAAUUCUUUCCAACAUGUAUAUUUCUUUUAGAAAGGCAUAAAAGGCAUAUUCACACUUUCUAAUGCUUAUAUAUUACACAUUCUAUUUGUGCAUUAACUUCUCCCUGCUCCAUAUAUCAUUUAUUGAGACCUACUAAGCGUUAUGUUGAGAGUUGUAGAUAAAAAGCUGAAUAGUUUUUGGCAGAGGGAGCUUUCAGAUUGAUGGAAGAAGCAGACAUAAAAUGUAAAUGCACUGAAAUACUGCUAAUAAAGAUUUAUAUCAAGUACUAUGAGAGAUAGGUAUGAAUCCAGGGAAGGGAAGGCUUUCCAGGCAUGAGAGGUGAAGCCAUGUACCAUGUGCUAGGAGCAUAAAAAUAACUGGAAAAUAGAGGACAUUCCUUCUCAGUGUUCCUUACUGGAUCUUCUCUUAUUUCCUUAAAAUUUUUGAUACCUCAGAGUUCUCUCCUUGGCUUCUGUUUUUCACUCUCCCUAAACAAUUUCAUCCAUACCCACAUUUGUCCUUUUCAUUCCAAAAUCUGUAUGUCCAACCCCUACCUCUCCCUUGAGCUCCAUGCCCAAAUAAUCAAGUAACGAGAGAACUCACAACAGUUGGGAGAGCUAGAGGAAACAUCUCUAACAUAACUGGAGCUUGAGUUCAGUCACGUGGCUGAUGAUCUAAUUAAUCAUGCCUAUGUAAUGAAAUCCCAAUAAAGUCUCCAGUCAUUGAGACUCAGAGGAGUCCCUGGUUGGUGAACACAGGUGUGUUGGGAAGGUGAAACGUCCUGACUCCAUGGGGAGAAGGCAUGGAAUCUGUGUUGAAGAUCUUCCCAGACCUCACCCUUGGUGUCUCUUCAUUUGGCUGGCUCAGAUUUGUAUCCUUUAAAUAAAACUGUAAUGGUAAGUGUAGCA